AUUUUUGAACUGUUUAAAAUAGUUUGCGAGGAAACGAUUCGAGACGAGUUGGAAUGUUAUGAGUAGUAUUUCGAGCGUUUCUGGCGAAAUGAGAAUAUGAUAAUAAUGUAUUAGGUUUAUAAACAAAUAAUGAUACAUUAACAAAAUUAUUUGGUAAGAAAAGAUGUAUGUAUCGUAUGAUUUGAAUGAUUAUCGUUGAUUUAUGGAACGUUAUCGUUAUUGUUUAUUACAUGUAUCCGCAAUGUUAAUUAGUGAUGCUGUCUCCCAUGUCCAUUCUGUAGUAACAGACGAGCAAACAUUAAUAAUGUAUUUAUAUGAUUACAAUAACAACAAUGAAGAUAUGAGGUUACGUUUUAGAAGUAUCGUAUUGAUUAUAUGACCUAAGGCUAUCUUAUAACGAUCAGUGUACAUAUUACAUUGAACGGUAUCGAAGAUGAAUGAAGACGUGGAGUACAAUGUCGCCGCUAGAUAUCGAACAGUUAAAAAACAUCUAGAUAACUUGGGAUACAAACAGGCGCUGUCUUUAGACGCUCUACCCCUGGUAGAGGCCUUACUGGGUGAUUUGAUACAAACCACAGACAGCCUUAAGCACUUCAAAACCGUCGCUCAAGAGAAUAUUGAGACAUGCAGCCAGUUGCAAUUGGCAGUUGAUCCUUACAAAUGUGAUAAUGCAAGAUUAGUGCGAGAAUGCAACCAGCUUCAUUCAGAUCUGAUAGAGGCUAAGGAGACACAUCAGAAGCAAGUCAAGGAUCUUAAAAGACAGAUAUACAAGUUAGAAUGUGAAUGCAAUGAUCUACAACUGGCAUCCUCGCGUAACAUAAAUAAGAUAAAGGAGCUUGAGGCAGAAUCAGCUGCCAAAUCUAAGAAGAUAUUGGAGCUUCAAGGCAAAUGUCUAAAGCCAACUAUUAUUAAUGUCGGUCUUGCUGCCAAGAAACGUCCCUGCUUUCCUCUUCGAAGAGCAGUCUUGGAAGCUGAGCCAAUGCCAAAGGCAAAGACCAACAGUUCAUUGCCAAAAUUAAGUAGUGUGGAGCCUAAGAUAAUAGACAUGAUAAGCAUGGCAGACCACAAGAUGAAUUGUCUAAGUCAGGAGGUAACCAAAUUACGGGGAGAGCUUUUAUUGCAAACCGAUACCAUAGAGAUUCUUGAGAAACAGCUAGCCACAAAAGAAAAAGAAAUAAUUCGAUUAAGAAAAAUGUUAGAAGGCGGUCGUUCCCAUAUUGCACUUAGCAAGGACUGUACUUGCAAAAAAAUAGAAAAGAAAACUGAUGUUACUCAUAAUACUGCAGAAAUUAAUGAAGUUAAAAUUCUUCAACAGGCCAAAUUGGAGUUGGAACAACAGUUAAAAGAAUCUCUAAAUAAACAACAUGAUGCUAUGUCUCAGGCAAUGAAACUAGCAGCACGAAAUGAGGAACUUGAGAAAGAAUUAAGAGAUAUAGAUCACGUUGCAUUAGCUGUAGAAGCUGAUUGCAACUCUGCAGUUAAAGAGAAUAACAGAAGAGUUGGCAAACUCCAGGAGAAGUUAGAGGAUAUCAUGAUGCAAGUGCAUGUCUUAGAACGUGAGUUAACUAUGGAACGUAGAGAAGUACAGGAAUUAAGAGCAGAUCUGGAAGCAUGUAGGCUUGAAAAGCGUAAUGUUCAGCGUACUCUAGAAUCUACAUUGGAUGAAAAGAAACGAAUGUCUGACAGGAUCAAUCAACUAACAGUCAUUGGUGGUCAAAAUUCUUACAAAAAUGAUAAAAAUGAAAAAUAUGAUAUGGAUUAUCAGACUACAGUUAAAGAUAGAGAAGUCAUAACAAAUACAAGCAAUGUUUUUGAGAUGCAAAAACGAAUUGACGAAGCAGAAUUAAAAAUUGCAUCUUUGCAACAGACGAUCCAACGAUUAGAAGUAGAACGAGAUCAUUAUAGAAAGGAAUACAUAAAUUGUGAUGAACAACGCAAAUCAGCUGAUAAAGAUACCGCCGAAUUAUGGACACAAAUUUGUGAAUUAAAAAGCGAGUUAAGCCGCAAGGAAUAUGCUUUAAAUAACGUACAGCGAGAGAAAGAAGAAUUAUGUCAACAAAAAAAGGAAAAUCUGGAAGCGCGACUGCAAACAUAUAAGAAUCAACAGUAUAUUCCUUGCAGAUCAUGUUUGUGCAAACCCGUUUGUAUUUGUACUUGUGCCUCUGGUUCGCCAAUAUCUGCCAAAGAUAUUAGCACAGCAAAGAUAAUGCAUGAACAUUUGGAACGAGAACGGGAUACAGCUAAAGCAGAUGUUGAGCGACUGAUAGAAGAACGCGAUGCAUUACGGGAGAGACUUAAGAUGAUGUCGGAAGUGCACACAUCCGAGCAACUCCAUCUUAAGGAAAAUUUAACCGAGACGGAGAAUCGAUUAAAACAUAUAGAAAAAGAACGACAAGAUCUCUUGGUCACUCAGGGCACGAAAAGAGCAGCGAUAAACGGUCUUGAGGAUCAAUUGGACGACAUACAAGAGGAAUUGCGUCGUACAAAACAGGAAUUAAUGGCACAACGAACGCAAUACUUCCAAUUACGAACUCUGCAAGAUCAAACAGAUCAAGCUCUUGGAGACGCGCAGAAUCAAUUGUCGCAAGCAGAAUCAGAGUUAAACAAAGCUAUGGAUCGCAAUAGAAAUAUGGAGCAGCAGCAAUCGCAAUUGAACGAUCAAAUCAAGGGACUGAAGCAAGAGAUAAACACUCUGCGCUCGAACAUGACGCUUUUAGAUCAAGAGAAAGAUCGUCUAUUGAUGGCAUUGGAUGAAAAGACAGAGAAGAUCGCCGCGUUAGAACGAGAAUUGAUGCACAAGGAUCAACAAAUGGAGGGGGUACAACAACAAAUCCGCGACUUACAGCAUAAAAACGAGAUAUGCAUUGAUCAGAGCGCCGAGCGAGAACGUCAGCUCAGGUCGCUGCAGCUGGAGAUGGAGACGGUACAGCGGCAGUUCGAAACCGCGUCGGUGGACCGCGAGAAUGCGAUUCAGGAGAACCGGAAGCUGCAGGACGACUUAGCGGCGGUGACCUGCGAGGUGCGGAACAUGCAACGCGAGCUGGAAAUCUCGCGCGCCGAGUGCUAUGACCUGAAGCGACAGCUGCAGACUUACGUCAGCGAGGUCCGUCGUGCCGAGGAACUCUUAAAUCGAAAGGAAAACGAGAGAACGGAAAUGCUGAAUCAUUUCCGAAGUCUCAGCUUGGAGGCGACGGUUCUGGAGAACAAUAAUCAUAGCUUGGAGUCUGAGGCGGCGGAGGCUAGGGGUGCCCUUCAAACCGCGAGGCAUCAGAUACUCGAUCUCGAGCGUCAGUUAGCGGAUAAAGAUUGUUUGAUAAAAGGCUACGAGACUCAGAUAAGCAAUCUCACGCAGAGCGUCGCUAGCAUGGAGACGCAAUUACGACAACAGAUCGAACAGAAACAUCGAGCCGAGGCCGAUCUAAUGGCGGUCAGAGACCUGUGCGUGAAGCUGGAUCAACAAAAGGAUACGCUUGUGGAACAACUCGGUGACAAUGACACUGUGAAAGCGCAGUAUGAAGCGCAAUUGUCAAGAUUGCAAGCCGAGCAGACUAUUGUUCAAGAUCAGAUUACUAGAGAUCGCGUGACUGUGGAACGACUGGAGACUCUUCUGGAUCAAGCGAGGCAGGAGUCCAUUAACGCGCAGGCUACUAAUCAAGAGCUGCAAAAUGAAAUAUCCAGAUUGAAGCAGAAAGUCUCCGAUCUUCAAAGUAAACUAAUCUGCGGAACUCAGACAGUAUCAGAAUCAAGCGGCGGAAUACAGCAAACAGAUUAGCGAACUUCGUAGACAGGUUACCAACGAGAGGUUUGACCGUGCUAGAAAGGAAGAGGAAAGUCGCAGGUCACUAAAUUCCUCUCCAGAUAGUUUCAAUGUAGAUUUAAAUGUAGUCAUAUAGAAUAUUAUAUAUUAUCUUU
rnacentral:misc_RNA from 1 species